UCCGUAGGCGGUGUGGCAAGUCGGAAGUGAAAUCUCUGGGCUUAACUCAGAGGCUGCUUCCGAAACUGCCGUGCUAGAGUGCGAGAGAGGCAAGUGGAAUUGCGGGUGUAGCGGUGAAAUGCGUAGAUAUCCGCAGGAACAUCCGAGGCGAAAGCGGCUUGCUGGAUCGCAACUGACGCUGAGGGACGAAAGCUAGGGGAGCAAACAGGAUUAGAUACCCUGGUAGCCCUAGCCCUAAACCAUCAGGACUUGGGGUUUGCCCUGUACGGGGCAAGUCCCGUAGCUAACGCGUUAAGUCCUGCGCCUGGGGAGUACGGUCGCAAGGCUGAA
rnacentral:rRNA from 1 species